UAGGGAGAACAAUAAUGGGCCCAGAACCGAGCCUUGAGGAACACCAAAGCAUACCUUUGACUUGUCAGAGAAUACAUCCACACUAACAAACUGAUAUCUUUCAGAUAAAUACGAUUUAAACCAGGCUAGAACAUGUCCACGUAGCCCAAUAUGGGUUUCCAGUCUCUCUAAGAAAAGGGAGUGAUCAAUAGUGUCAAAAGCAGCACUAAGAUCAAGAAGCAACAGGACGGAUGCAGAACCUUUGUCUGAGGCCAUUAGAAGGUCAUUUGUUACCUUCACGUAAACUCCUGAGGCAAGAAAAAUGCCUGAACCAAAUCAUCAGGUACACCAGCUUAGUUGAGCAGUGACUCCUGGUUAUAUUAGUGUCUGUAGUGGACACCAGGCUUUGUUUACAUAAAUGAAAAGCCUGUUCUGGUCUUACCGGAGUCCUUUGCUGUUCGGUCAGGCCUGAAGACGUCGCGGCCUUCUAGCCCAAUAGUGUUCUCAGGUAUGUUGUUGUGUAGGCACUUUUCUGUGAAAAAAAUUAUGCUGCAAUUAAUAAUAUUUUUCGUGAGACGAUUCUUAGUUGUAUUUCAUCCAUUUUGUUUGCCAGUGGCUGUACAUUAGCGAGAAAAAUGCUAGGUAGUGAAAGCCUUUGGGGGUUAGCUUUAGCCUAGCCAAGGCCUCCUCGCUUGACUAAUUGACUAACUUAAUGUGGUGUGGCAAGAUGCUGCACAGCUGUCUUAUAUCGAGAAUACAUGUUCCCCCUCGUUCUAUCCAUUCCUAGGUAUUUACCUAAAGGGCAGGUUGUCCCUCCAUUUCUCAGGAAACUACAGCAACAUUAAGUUUGUUUUUCCUGAGUUUUCCUGAACACAUCCCGGCUGAGUCUCCAACCACUUACACCUGCUGCGAUCUGCACACCCGGUCCUGAUUACCAUUCCCUGCACCAUAUAAGCCGCGACCAGACAUCCAUUACCUGCCGGAUCGUUAGCGUAACCUUUACUCACCUGGAUUGUCACUCACACCUGCCUAGCUGUCUACUCCACUGCAGCACAUUUGGAUCAGCACAGAAACCUCCCGUCUUCCAGCCUCACUCCCUGCCGUCCAACUGGACCUAAUCGUUUUCCACAUUCAAAUUCCAAGUACUGGCAUUCUGGACAGCCUGAUAACUUUAAGAAUCAGGAGGACUGCGCUGAGAUAUACUAUGGGGAACAUAACUCAUUUGAGACAUGGAAUUAGUUGAAUUGUGGGACAACACUUAACUGGAUUUGUGAGAGAGUGGUUUAAAAAUGACCUGUCCCUUUCUGUCUCUCAAGUUGUUAUGAAUAAAUAAAUAUACCUCCCAUUUAUAUACUUCCCAUUUAUUUGACAAUAAAACUAUUGAGCAUUUAGUCACAGAGAAAGAGACAGAACCAGGCAAAACCAACAAUAUAACUAGACCCUGAGAAUUAACAUCACUACUUACAGUAACAGUCAAAUAUUCAGACUCACUGUUAUAGAAUAGAGUGUUGUGCUUCUGAUUUGCCUGCAUAGCAACAAUUAUGUUUAAAUAGGUUAUUGCUUUGCUGAUGGAAAAAUACAGAAUUUGUUCCUGUGAGAAGCGAUACAUGUUGUUCUAGUAAAGUGUAACAAUAUAACUUGUGGCUGACAGCUGUACAACCUGUAACCACUGGAUGGGCAAAGAUGUUAGAAAAACCAGCUAGAACCAGAUAAACUUUGUCUAGGUGAAGUGUAACUGUUGUUAAGUAUAAAUGUUUUUAUCACACCAUAUUAACAGUACAAGAAAAUUUCCUUCUUAGCUGUACUUUCUGAGAUUUCACUGUCUCUCUGCUUGCAAGUAUUGAAU
ensembl:lncRNA